rnacentral:misc_RNA from 1 species
GAUGAAGAACGCAGCAAAAUGCGAUAAGUAAUGUGAAUUGCAGAAUUCAGUGAAUCAUCGAAUCUUUGAACGCACAUUGCGCCCGCCAGCAUUCUGGCGGGCAUGCCUGUUCGAGCGUCAUUUCAACCCUCGCAGCCCAUCUGGGCAGCGGUGUUGGGGACCGGCACCACCGGCGAAGCCCUUAGGGGCCCAGCCGGCGCCGCCCCCGAAAUACAGUGGCGGUCUCGCUGCAGCCUCCCUUGCGUAGUAGCACACCUCGCACCGGAGCGCAGCGCGGCCACGCCGUAAAACCCCCGACUUUCUGAGUUUGACCUCGAAUCAGGUAGGAAUACCCGCUGAACUUAAGCAUAUCAAUAAGCGGAGGA